rnacentral:lncRNA from 1 species
UCUUUUGUGGUAUUUCUGGAUCCUUACCAAGGCAGUGAUGGUACAUGCCUUCUCUCAAAGUAUGUAGUAUUUUUGGUAUAAGGCAUAGUGACAUUGCCUUGUCUCUUAUCCUACUCUAAUAAGGCUUUGAUAUCUAGAGCUCAUAGGUGGGAGAUAAAAUAUACAUACUUACAAGACAUUUGUUGCAUAGUCAAACCAUGGAUCCAGAGAAACAAGUCAAUAAGUCAAAUCAAGAUGUGCAUGUGUGGUGAAUGAAUGGUAUAUGAUGAUGAUGGUGAUAACAAUGGUGAAAGUCUAAUUCUACUUUUGCUCUUUUGAGGGGAUACAUACCUUUCUUGCUCUUUUGAAACUUUUUGAGGAGAAUGAGAUGCUCUACUUUUUCUUUUUAUUUCCACUCAGGUGGGUAUCUUGUACCCCUAAUUUUACUAUCGGACACUUGUCCAUUUUUACCUCUCGUCUCACUUUUUCUUUUCUUUUGAGGUUCCGGGCACUUGCCCCUUUUUAUUUCCUCGUAUCCUUUCUCUCUUUUUUUAGAGCACUCAUCUCUUGAAAUAAUAUAGCAAGUGGUAGUAAUCCAAGAUAACUUGAGCAUUUAUUUCACAGAGGAAAAACAAAAAUGUUUUUAGCUAUUCUCUCCUGGAUUAGGAGUAGAAUAUUUUUGGGUGGUUCUGGAGAUGGAAAUGUGUGGAUAUAUGUGGAUGUGUACUUCCGGAGUAGAAGCAGCAUGUGUGAGUGAACGUGCAAGUGAAUCUUGAUUUAACCACAUGACAAGCUCCUAAGGGUCUACACAGCUUGACCACACUCAAUGCUUAUAAGCAGUAAAAAGUAAAUGUGUGGCUCAAAGUCUAGCAAGCAUGUAUAUAUAUGGCUAUGGU